rnacentral:misc_RNA from 1 species
GGCUAAUGCCGGACCUGGAACUAACGGAUCACAGUUUUUCAUCUGUACGGCGAAGACUGAGUGGCUUGAUGGAAAACACGUUGUGUUUGGGCAAGUGGUUGAAGGCAUGGACGUGAUUAAGAAAGCGGAGGCCGUUGGAUCUAGCUCCGGUAAGUGCUCGAAAGCAGUUGUGGUGGCUGAUUGUGGCCAAAUUUCCUAGAUCUGAAGAUGAUCGUAGGCAUAUUGAUGAUGAUCUAGUCUAGUUAAUUACUCCUGCCGUUACUAAUUAUGUUUUGUUUCGUUUUGUUUUUCCUUCUGUAGGCUUACUUCUCUAUACUGUAAUAGGUAGUUCUUACUACUACCGGUGCAUGUUGAAUUUUGA